rnacentral:lncRNA from 1 species
CAGUAAAGAAGAGAAAAACAAAUAACAGAAUGACGCUAUCAGAGGUUAAUAAAGAGCAGCGCUGGCGACACGUCGUGACCUGUACACUCUUUUUCCACAACAACAUCCACCAUCUGCGAGCAUCACCAUCAGAGGUCUACUAUUACUAUUACUGCGACUAUACGUAACGACUGGGAUGAUAACUACUACUGCUGCUGAAUAGAGAAAAUCGGCAACAGCAAGAACAAAAAAAAGUAACUAUAGACGAGUCGUUCAACAAUGACAUUGUUCUAAAUCUCCAUGAAAGACGUUGGUCAUUCACCGCGCACACAAUAGAAGCUUUGGCAUAUUGCUCAAGUCUGGGGCAAAAAAUAGCAAAACAAAGAGUAAUAAUCGAGACAAGAGGAAGAUGAAAAAAUGAAAAAAGAAUUAGUGACUCUGGUUAGUCGAGAAUCGGUAAUAGUGGUGUCGCCAAAGUAAAGCGGAAUUGGGUGCACAGUACGCUGGGAUAAGUCCAUUUAGUGUAGCAGCAGCAUAGAAGCGAGCUGGAGAGCAUAUUUGAGGUCUCAGACGAGCGAUUGUAGACUCGUCAGUUGCAACAGCUUCAUAGUAUUAUAGCCCACAGAAUUCAUGCUGUAUAGACGGCAAGGCAGGUCAACAGAGAAUACGACGCAAGUGCCAACACGUACACGUACAUCAAUAUCAACACCAACAGCAUCAGCCUCAGCCCCGUCAGCAGCUUCAGUAGCAUCGGCAGCAGCGCAAGAGAUGCAGGAGAAGUACCAGUUAGUGAACAGACGCGAGAGUCGACGAGAGAACCAGAGAAGAGCUUCUCUUGAUGCACUAUAGCUCCAGCGUGCAAGUUUGCCAGUACAGUGUACAGUAGGGGCAAUAGAGGGCAACGCACCCAGUCAGCCUUGGCAUGAAUUGAGUCUAGCAAUGCACAACUCAAGUUAGUGAAAACGUCAGACACGCUCUGGAAUAUGAUUUUUGACACUAAGCCGGCUGCUCUUGCUAGUCUACUACUACUGUUCUAUCGUAUCUUCUACUACAUGCUAGCGAAUUACGUGCACGGUAGACAAUUCUCGCUACUGUGUGUGUGCAACAAUCUCAAUUCACUAGCUCCUAAAAACAAUUUUCUGUUUCUUCUUUUCAUUUUUUAUACUUUACUUUCGUACUUUUACACUCACCUCCGUAUCCUUAUUUCUUCACGCCCUAUAUAUCUCUUGUGUUACUAUUGAUAUUUUGCACGCCUCAUAAGCGAAGCGUUGAGGUUGUGCUCUACUCUCGACAUUUCAAAAAAAGCAGUUUUCUCGAAACUGAAAUUGAUUUUUUGUUAUUUAUAUCGCACUUACAGAUUAAUAUGAGUACACUUAUAUCAAGUCAAAUAAUUUGUCAGGCACAUAAAAUUUAUUUCAAUAACAAUUUUUUUGUUUAACAUAGUAAAUAAUAACAUUAAGCAUAAUCUUUUCUGGACGUCCGUGUAUGGAUGGGUGUAUGUGGCAGGGAAAUUGGUCGAAAAAAUGAUCGUACCGGAAUAAUUUUUUUUUUAUUAUCUAAAGUAACACACGACGAAUUUUCAUAAUUAAUA